rnacentral:rRNA from 1 species
CAUGCAGUCGAGCGGGGAAGGGUAGCUUGCUACCUGACCUAGCGGCGGACGGGUGAGUAAUGCUUAGGAAUCUGCCUAUUAGUGGGGGACAACAUUCCGAAAGGAAUGCUAAUACCGCAUACGCCCUACGGGGGAAAGCAGGGGAUCUUCGGACCUUGCGCUAAUAGAUGAGCCUAAGUCAGAUUAGCUAGUUGGUGGGGUAAAGGCCUACCAAGGCGACGAUCUGUAGCGGGUCUGAGAGGAUGAUCCGCCACACUGGGACUGAGACACGGCCCAGACUCCUACGGGAGGCAGCAGUGGGGAAUAUUGGACAAUGGGCGAAAGCCUGAUCCAGCCAUGCCGCGUGUGUGAAGAAGGCCUUUUGGUUGUAAAGCACUUUAAGCGAGGAGGAGGCUACCGAGAUUAAUACUCUUGGAUAGUGGACGUUACUCGCAGAAUAAGCACCGGCUAACUCUGUGCCAGCAGCCGCGGUAAUACAGAGGGUGCGAGCGUUAAUCGGAUUUACUGGGCGUAAAGCGUGCGUAGGCGGCUUUUUAAGUCGGAUGUGAAAUCCCUGAGCUUAACUUAGGAAUUGCAUUCGAUACUGGGAAGCUAGAGUAUGGGAGAGGAUGGUAGAAUUCCAGGUGUAGCGGUGAAAUGCGUAGAGAUCUGGAGGAAUACCGAUGGCGAAGGCAGCCAUCUGGCCUAAUACUGACGCUGAGGUACGAAAGCAUGGGGAGCAAACAGGAUUAGAUACCCUGGUAGUCCAUGCCGUAAACGAUGUCUACUAGCCGUUGGGGCCUUUGAGGCUUUAGUGGCGCAGCUAACGCGAUAAGUAGACCGCCUGGGGAGUACGGUCGCAAGACUAAAACUCAAAUGAAUUGACGGGGGCCCGCACAAGCGGUGGAGCAUGUGGUUUAAUUCGAUGCAACGCGAAGAACCUUACCUGGUCUUGACAUAGUAAGAACUUUCCAGAGAUGGAUUGGUGCCUUCGGGACUUACAUACAGGUGCUGCAUGGCUGUCGUCAGCUCGUGUCGUGAGAUGUUGGGUUAGUCCCGCAACGAGCGCAACCCUUUUCCUAUUUGCCAGCGGGUUAAGCCGGGAACUUUAAGGNNCUGCCNUGACAANUGGAGGAAGGCGGGGACANNUCAGUCNCNGGGCCUUNNACCGGGGUACANGUGCNUAAAGGNNGGGAANAGGGUUNNC